AGUUUGAUCCUGGCUCAGGAUGAACGCUGGCGGCGUGCCUAAUACAUGCAAGUCGAGCGAACUGAUUAGAAGCUUGCUUCUAUGACGUUAGCGGCGGACGGGUGAGUAACACGUGGGCAACCUGCCUGUAAGACUGGGAUAACUUCGGGAAACCGAAGCUAAUACCGGAUAGGAUCUUCUCCUUCAUGGGAGAUGAUUGAAAGAUGGUUUCGGCUAUCACUUACAGAUGGGCCCGCGGUGCAUUAGCUAGUUGGUGAGGUAACGGCUCACCAAGGCAACGAUGCAUAGCCGACCUGAGAGGGUGAUCGGCCACACUGGGACUGAGACACGGCCCAGACUCCUACGGGAGGCAGCAGUAGGGAAUCUUCCGCAAUGGACGAAAGUCUGACGGAGCAACGC
rnacentral:rRNA from 1 species